UUUCUACUCCUUCCGUCCGAAAAUACUUGUCAUCAAAAUGGAUAAAAAGAGAUGUAUCUAAAACUAAAAUACGUCUAGAUACAUUUCCUUUUAUCCAUUUUGAUGACAAGUAUUUCCGGACGGAGGGAGUAUUUG
rnacentral:pre_miRNA from 1 species